rnacentral:rRNA from 1 species
UACGUAGGGUGCGAGCGUUAGUCGGAAUUACUGGGCGUAAAGCGUGCGUAGGCGGUUCGUUAAGUCAGCUGUGAAAGCCCCGGGCUCAACCUGGGAACUGCGGUUGAAACUGGCGAACUAGAAUCUGGCAGAGGGGGGUGGAAUUCCACGUGUAGCAGUGAAAUGCGUAGAGAUGUGGAGGAACACCGAUGGCGAAGGCAGCCCCCUGGGCUGAGAUUGACGCUCAGGCACGAAAGCGUGGGGAGCAAACAGG